GUCAUUUUUGUCUUUUUACAUUUUAGCUAUUACUACACUGUCUAUAAAUAUCCAAUGUAUCACGCCAUUUUGAUGAACUGAAAAUACAGAAUUUUCCCGCCAUUUUUCAUUGUCUUCUUCAGCUCUUCCAUUGCAAAAUUAUCAUGGUAUCAGAGCAUUGAAGUUUAUUUUGGCAAUGGCAAGAGAGUUUAAUCAACAAGUAGAGGUUCAACAUCAGCCAACUCACGCUGAUCCGGCAGUCGAUCCUCAUGUUACGGACGAGAGUACUGGAGAUGCAAACAACAUUGUUAAUCGAUCGAUAAAUGAUCCUAACAGUCCUUAUUAUCUCCACUAUGGCGACAAUACAGGUAUGCAACUCAUAACUAUCAUGUUGUCUGAGGAUAAUUACACCACAUGGAGUCGUGCAGUUAUCAUAGCUCUCAGUGUCAAAAAUAAGGAAGGUUUUAUUGAUGGAUCCAUUACUAAACCUGCUGAGAAUGAUCUGAUCUAUGGUGCUUGGAGGCGAUGCAAUCAUGUGGUUUCUUCCUGGAUCAUAAAUUCCAUCCCAAAGGAACUUUAUCCAAGUGUGAUGCAUAAGGAUUCAGCUCGGCAGAUUUGGAUUGAAUUAAAAGAUCGCUACAGCCAAGGAAAUGGAUCUCGAAUUUAUGAGAUAAAGAAGCAAAUUGCUUCAAUUUCUCAGGACAAUAACUCCAUCAAUUCUUACUUCAAUCGGUUUAAAGGCCUAUGGGAAGAAUUGGACAAUUAUAGGCCGGAGGUAAGUAGUGCAGACUACAAAACUGAAGAUCAAGUUAUGCAAUUCCUAAUGGGUCUAGAUGAUCGAUUUUCCAGUGUGAGAAGCCAAAUUUUAUUAAUGGAUCCACUACCUUCACUCAACAAGGUGUUUGCCUUAGUCCUACAAGAUGAAAGGCAGAAAGGAAUUGUUGCUAAGAAACAUCAGAAUUUCGAUGUAGCAGCCUUUGCCAACAAGGUUAUGUCUAAUCCAUAUGGAAAUCAGAGGCACAAUGUAUCCAAUCAAAUUCAAAGGAAAGGAAUGCCUAUAUGUACUUAUUGUGGAAUGUUAGGCCAUCUCAGGGGGAAAUGCUACAAAUUGGUUGGAUAUCCCCCUGGACAUAGGCUUGCCAAAGGGAAACCUUCAGUUGCCAAUGCUGUAGGUCAGGCUUCCCAGGCAAACAAUUCAGAGCUGAUCAAUUCUUUGUCCAACCUCACUAUCACACCAAGCCAACGCCAGCAGAUUAUGACCGUGCUUGCUCCACAGCUGCAAGGUCAACAACUUCAGGAGGUUAUGUCUUCUUCUACACAUACACCUGAUGCCUUUGCAUUUUCAGGUAAUCGAGCAUGUCAUCUGAAUCCAGGUAAAUGGAUUAUUGAUACUGGGGCUUCGGAACAUAUGGUGUGUUCCAUUAAUCAAUUGACUGUUGUGACCAGUAAAACUAAAGGUUCAGUAAGAUUACCAAAUGGGGAUAUUGCACAAGUCACACACAUUGGUAUUGUGAAGCUAUCUGAUGCAUUAACCUUAACUGAUGUAUUAGUUGUGCCAAGCUUCAACUUCAAUCUGAUUUCUGCCAGCAAUCUUGUUAUCAAACAUAGAUGUUUGUUGUUAUUCUUACAUCACUUUUGCUUCAUUCAGGAUCUUUUCACCUGGAAGACGAUUGGGGUAGGGAAACUUGAAGAUGGUUUAUAUCAUUUCCAAGGUUCUGAUAAUCAACUCAAUGGGCAGCUCUCUUCCACUUCUCAAAGUGUCCCAACAAAGCCUAUCCUUCCUGUUCUCAAUAAUGUAACUUCCUUCACUGAUGUACAAGUCCCCACUCCACAUCUUGAUUGUAAUAAUUCUGAUCCUGCUGUAUGUAAUUUUCCAUGUAAAAGGGACAUUCAUACUAACAUUGAUAUAUGGCAUUGUCGAAUGGGACAUAUUCCUACUUCCAAACUAUCACUUUUGCAUAAAAUUGUUCCUACAAUCACUUUUGAUCAACAUUUGCAUUGUACCAUUUGUCCUACAGCAAAACAACAUAGGCUACCUUUUCCUAAAAGUGACACCAGAAGUUCGAAAAUAUUUGAUCUUAUACACUGUGACAUCUGGGGACCACAUUCUAUUCCCACCUUAGAUGGUUCGAAAUACUUCUUGACCAUCGUUGAUGAUUAUAGCCGGAUGACAUGGACAUAUCUUAUGAAAGAAAAAUCUCAAACUAGGUCCAUCAUCCAAUCAUUUUACAAUCUGAUCCAAACACAUUUCCAUUGUAGUUUAAAAACCUUAAGAUCAGACAAUGGAUCUGAGUUUCACAUGCAUGACUUCUACCUUUCCAAGGGAAUGUUGCAUCAGUUAAGUUGCGUUGAAACACCCCAACAAAAUGGGGUUGUCGAAUGCAAACACCAACAUUUACUUAAUGUAGCUCGUGCCAUAAAAUUCCAAGCCAAUUUACCUGCCCAGUUCUGGGGAGACUGCAUAUUAACUGCCACACACCUUAUCAAUCGAACUCCUACUACUAUCCUUGGAAACAAAUCUCCCUUUGAAAUGUUAUACCAAGAAAAACCAUCUUACAGCCAUCUAAGGGUCUUUGGAUGCCUUUGUUAUACAUCCACUCUAAAAAGAAAUAGAACAAAAUUUGAUCCAUGAGCCAAGCCUUGUAUAUUUCUUGGAUACCCCCAUGGCAUGAAGGCCUAUAAAUUGUAUGAUCUUCAAUCCUAUUCCAUCAUUGCUUCAAGAGAUGUCAUAUUUCAUGAAAAUAUAUUUCCAUUUCGUAAUUCAGAUUUCCUAAAAUCUUUAUCAAAUUCCAGUAUUUCCCUUGAAGCUGAUCAGUCUCUAUUUUAUCCACAUUCUUAUCCUUCAGAUGACAUCCCAUCCUUCCCAUCUGCUCAUAUCCCAGUAACUCACUCUAAUCAUCACUCCCCAAUAUCAGAUGUUUCUCUCCUGGUUUUUCUUCUAGUACUCAAGAAUCCAGUUUUGAUCAUCAUUCUCCUGUGAUAAAUUCUGAUUCAUCAACUCCUGUCAUUCGAAAAUCUAACAGAACCAAACACCCUCCUUCAUAUCUUCAUGAUUACCAUUGUAGUUUGGUGUCUCAGAAGCCUUAUUCCCAAUCUGAUUCUUUGGUGAAAGGUUCUGCAUCUAGUAAACAGUACCCCAUUUCAGAUUAUUUGGGCUACAAUAUGCUAUCUGCUCCUCAUAGAAAAUACGCACUGGCUCUUUCCACUGUUUAUGAGCCUCAGUCUUAUGCUGAAGCAUCACAACAUCAGGAUUGGUGCAAGGCUAUGGAUACUGAAUAUCAAGCACUUGUGUCCAAUAAUACUUGGACUGUCACUAAGCUGCCUUCCCACAAGACACCAAUAGCUUGUAAAUGGGUGUUUAAGGUCAAGCUUCAUGCAGAUGGUUCGAAGGAAAGAAAGAAGGCUCAGCUUGUAGCCAAAGGAUUCACACAGCAGGCUGGGUUGGACUAUGAGGAAACCUUUUCACCGGUUGCAAAACUGGUCAUAGUAAAAACCUUGUUGGCUGUUGCGGCACAGAAAUGUUGGCACCUUCAUCAGCUGGAUAUCAAUAAUGCAUUUUUGCAUGGUGAUCUCGAUGAGCAAGUAUAUAUGCUUAUGCCUCCGGGAUAUGAGAAGCAGGGGGUGGAUGGAGAGCGGCUAGUUUGCAAACUAAACAAGUCCAUUUAUGGACUUAAGCAAGCGUCGAGGCAAUGGAAUGCAAAAUUGACUGCAUACAUUCUAUCAAAGGGGUUUAGACAAUCAAAAUCAGAUUAUUCGUUAUUUUGUAAGGAGAAAGGCAGCUCAUUUACGGUUCUCCUCAUAUAUGUAGAUGACAUAAUUAUAGGAGGCAAUGAUCUGAAUGAUAUACAACAAUUCAAAAAGGAGUUGAAUGAUCAGUUCAAACUAAAAGA
rnacentral:lncRNA from 1 species